GACUCAAGUAAACACUGAGUUGGGAGAAAUACCUCCUCGCAGAAAUAAGUCGCUCCGAUGUCAACUAUACUGGGAAUUCAUAGAAGAAAAAACUUAUCAAUUUGCCUGGUUUUGUUCUAGUUUGUCCACUUGUGAAGAUUGUGAUGGUUGACAUUGCCCGCAAGAAAAUAACACACCAGACCAAAAGACCAAACAGCUGGAACUGAGUAAACAUCAACGUGGGGUAAUUCUUAAAAAAAAAUAAAAAAAAAAAUCUUCCUUGUUCGUUUGUUAUAAAGUCAUCUCUUGGUUAAAAGUGUUGAUCUGAUGUUCGUGUCAUGUAUCAGAGCCGAAACAGGACAAGUAAAGGAUAGUAGUGAGUGAAAUAUAGAAAAAAUAAGCAAGUUGGGCCUCUCAGUGAAGUUGAAUGAGUGAACUAUUUUGCGGCUGCGAGCUGAUUCAUACAAAAAGGCGUCCGCGGGGGCGUGCGUGGAGGCCAGUGGCGGGCAUUAUAUUCGGUGCUUAUUGACUCAACACUGCAAUAUCCGCCACCAGCAGGCCUAUCAGGGUACAGUGAGGUCACGAGGACACCGAAGAUGCUAGAUAUAUCACCAACACGAAGUGGAACAACUAUUAACCCAACAGAAGCAACGCGAAAGAAAAUCCUACAACUUGGAGUUGCUGCCCAGGAAGCAAAGCUGCCGCAAAAAGGAUUCGCAAACGUAAAGGUACUGGGAAGGACUCUAGCCAAGCCCAUGUUCUCAUCCAUUCCGGGUCUUCCUUCACACCCAGACUC